AUGCGGGGUCCACAUGUCAGGUUUGAAAAGCUCGCCGGCGCCCGAAGACUGCGGUGGACGCCGGCGUCGAACCACGGCGAGUUAGGAGAAACGGAGGGUACCAAGAGCUUCAGCGUCUUCUUCCGCGUCGGUGGGUGGUGGACUCGUCCAACGGGGAGCACCACGUCGACGGCGACACUUUCUCCGGCGGACGGCGGUUCGGGUGAGGAUGGGGAACUCCGGUGUAAGGCUGCAAGCUUCAAAUUGGAGUGUGGGUCAGAAAGAGGGAUGCAUGGUGAAGCUACUGGCAGGAGAAUGGAGGCGGAGGAGCACACACAGGGGCGAAUCGGGCUGGAUCCCGUGGCGGGUCGCGGCGGCCGGAGUCGAGGAAGGAGUCCUCCUCGUGGCUCUUCCAGUGGCUAG
rnacentral:rRNA from 1 species